AACGAACGCUGGCGGCAGGCUUAACACAUGCAAGUCGAACGCCCCGCAAGGGGAGUGGCAGACGGGUGAGUAACGCGUGGGAAUCUACCCAGAUCUACGGAACAACAGUUGGAAACGACUGCUAAUACCGUAUACGCCCUACGGGGGAAAGAUUUAUCGGAUUUGGAUGAGCCCGCGUUGGAUUAGCUAGUUGGUGGGGUCAUGGCCUCCCAAGGCGACGAUCCAUAGCUGGUCUGAGAGGAUGAUCAGCCACACUGGGACUGAGACACGGCCCAGGCUCCUACGGGAGGCGGCAGUGGGGAAUAUUGGACAAUGGGCGCAAGCCUGAUCCAGCCAGGCCGCGUGAGUGAUGAAGGCCUUAGGGUUGUAAAGCGCGUUCACCGAUGAAGAUAAUGACGGUAGUCGGAGAAGAAGCCCCGGCUAACUUCGUGCCAGCCGCCGCGGUAACAC
rnacentral:rRNA from 1 species